CGAGUCAGAAAAGGAGGCUGAGCGACGAUACCUGGAGCGGGUGCGUGAGCGUGGGCCAGUGGCGGCUGAGAAAUCCCACUCCAACAAGCAGCUGAAGGCAGAACCGGUGUACAACAUACAAGAUGAAAGCAGGGGGGCAGCAAUAAACUGGGUAAACAUUGGUAUUCCUGUGGCCAUAUUAACCAAAGAGGGAGAGUGUUUGGCUGCCAUGGUGCCAGACGACGAAUUGCUCAGGACAUGUGAAGCAUGUGGAAGCAUCUUGGGACCUGCACAGACCAAAGAUUGUCAUUUCCAGCCAACACAGAGUAUCAUAGAUUCUCAGGAGAAGGCAGUCCCUCAAUGGGUCACCCCUGGUCAGUCAUGUUGCCGAACCAUCCACCCAAACUUCAUGGAAAGUUUAACCUUCACUGGAGGCGUCAGCUUGGCAGAAAGUGUAGAGCGGCGAGGUGUAGGAGGUGCAGGUGAGACCAUGUCAGCUUUUGGGAAGCUUCGAAGAAGGAGCAGGAAAGGAGAGAGCAGAAUUGAAAGCAGUAAUGGUCCAUAUGCUCAGAGUCAGGAUCUAUGGGCUCAGAGAAGGAACUCCAAAACCAGGUCAAGUCUAGAGGAUAAAACUACUCGCUCUAAAUUGAAGACGCCUGCACAAGAUGCUACAGAAACCUCAUCUGACCUUGAGAAUAAUGAUAUAUCUAGCACUGUCAAGGAGUCUUCCCCCCACCUCCCCAUCAAAUCAGCUCUGAAAUCAGGUUUCAAGAGUCAGCCAAUAGGGCAACGGGUGGUCAAGCUAAUACCCUCAGUUCAGUACCGCCUAAUUCACCUUGACCACAAGCUGGAUGGGAGCUCUCACCAAGAAAACAUACAACCUGAAGAGCACCUCAGUGUCAAGCUCAGUGCCUCCCCUCAGGGUCAUCCAGUCACCUCAGGACUGACUUUUUGCAACAGACCAUCCUCUCUCAGGUACUCCUCAUCUGUGCUGACCACAGACCUCCAGGCUUUAACAAUAUGGGACUCUGCAGGCGACCUAGUCACAGGAGAGCAGGGGAGCGAGAAGGGCGACCUAAGCUAUCCCUCCAUCGUUUUUUCUCAGCCAUGGGACUGAACAGUAUGGGUAAGCUGGUGAAGGGCAGCCGGUCCAACAGCAUGGAGCACCUGUGUUCCCCUACUGCCCACUACAGUUCUGCCUCCCCACGCCCCACACACAGAGGCCUUGUCCCUCUGAAGAGAACCCCCUCUCUCCAGUCUCUCCACACAGUGAGUUCUCUUCUUUGUUAAAGAGAGAGUUAAAGAGUCCACCAACACUAGCACCCCUACCCUUGCAAUACCAUGUGAGAUAGGGUGACCAUACGUGCCAUUUUUAUGGGACAUGUCCUGGCCAGGAUUUCUAUAUUGCCUAAAAUAUCCAGGUUUUGGCUCUUUGCACAGCACAGACUGAUCAGUGUAUAAUAUGACAUCAUUUAGAACAAAAUCAGGCCAAAACGAAGUUCGUUUUGAGUUUGUUUCUGCAGUUCGAAACAGCUCACCAAAGUGAACUUUUAGGGGGAGUUUGUUUUGGUUCCUAAACACCUUUUGAGCUUCCAUUGGUCCGUGGGGAUUACGCAAUCGGUGGGUGUGUUUUGAAACUCCACCUUCAUUGACAUGCGACUUUCUUUUUUUUUCCCGGUUUGUUCCUCAUUCUGCUGAGGUCCUACAGGAAAGCAACAUCUCCUGAAUACACUGAGUGUCGAAUAGCUGAGCUGCACAAAUUUAUAUGCACCUGUACGAUCACUCGUGGAGAGACUUUGAAGAAUUAGAGAAAGUAUUUAAUUCCUAGAAAGAAAUUGCAAUGAAGCUUGGUGUCGACGACCCGGAGUUGUGCAAAAAGCAACGCAGAGAAACAUCCGAGACAAGUUUCCAAAGCCAUGAAAAGAAUGAAAGAAAAGGGUAAAGAUAUAAGGUAGCAUGUACCAAAUACAUGUGUUUCAAAUCAAAGUUACACCA
ensembl:lncRNA